GUUUCAGCCUGGAGAGGACCACCCUGCUGGAAGGGUGUCCUGGGAAUGAAGUCCACGUAGGUGAGAACACACACCAGGGAUAUGUAGCUGGAUGGACUCAGCAGCCCUUGGGGAAUAAAGCCAGCUCAACUCAGCUGUACUUCUCACCACGUGGCAAAGGAUGGACCAAAGGCUGGGAGCAACUGGGAGUGUCUGGGACUGUGCCCCAAGGAAGCCACACAAACUGUGUAGCCAGACAGUCUGUCUGGGAGGAGAAGGAAGGAAUUUAUCUACCAGCUCCCAUCUCUCAUGGACCAAAUUCUUCCCCACUGUACAUAACUCCAUAUCACUUUCAGAUUGCAUAAGGGUGAGAGCUGAAUGUAGGCUCCAACAGGAAGACGGCAUUGAAGCCUGGUUGCUUGUUACUACUCAGAAUGCCAUCUACAAAAGGAAAUUAUGUAAAAAGCAAUAAAGAACCCCUUUUGUUCUUGCAGGAGUCAGUGUUUCAUAACUCUUUCUGUGAUAUCGUCUGUAUAAGUUGAACCUCUAAAGAACCUUAUCUAAGUUGCCACGACCUUACUCAUUACCCUCAAGAAAGAUGAACAAUUUAAAGGGGGAAAAAAGGAAGUGAAAAAAAUGGCGGAUACGAGGCAGAACUAACCUGCAGCUUCCACUCGAAGGGACAGAGCAGAGUGUGGAGACCCACAACUGGAACUUUUUCUCCAAGAACUACCACAGGAACAUACCAAGAAAGCCAAGAGAAUCCACAGAACCUUUGGAGGAAGUGGUUUGUCACUGCAGGCUCUGUGGGACAGCUGAGGAACUUUCAGUUAAAUAUUUACUGAGAACAACUGUAUUUGCUGGGUAUUGUGCAAGGCACUAAUAAUAACAGAAAGACUCCUGGAGUGAAGCCAGGAAAUCAGAACUGUGUGCUGUCUUCUCCAUGUGCAAGCUUUGCUCCUGGGUAAGUCCCUUCAGCUUUUGGGGUGUCAAUCAUCUCCCUAUUAGCAAAUGCAGGGAGGGAGAUGAGCCUUGGUGAUUUCCAAGGCUCCUUUAUUUUUGUACACUCCUGAGUUUAUAGUUCAACUCUCACAAUGUACCUAACCUUUGUGCUGUGGAGUGAGUGUGUGGAAGGAAAGCUUGGGGGAUGUAGAAAGAACAAGAGGCAGAAGGAAGAGUCCUUGUCUUUGGAAACAGAGAAGAUCAAAAUAUGCACAUAUGACAUCACUGGAGAAACUUACAAUUCAGCAUCUAACCCCAAAGGAGCUCAGGUAGUACAGCUUCUUAUGGGAGGAGCGGUCAAGGAUGGGGGAAUAUAAAUGAGGGAGUGAGGAAUGGUGAGGGGUGGACUAAAGGAAUGGAGAGAGGAGUGAAUUCAGCAAAUGUGACCUCAGAAGCAGAAACUUUUCUGAUUUCACUCCCCUUCACAGGCCAGCGUCCUCUUUCCUGUGUUGGUCACAUCCUCAAAUGCCUUUGGGGCUGGAUGAACAGUCGGCUUGUGGGUUUUCAUGGUGAUUUCAACUAAUAUGUGGAAGGGAAGGAGGGGAAGAGGAAAGACUCGGUGAUGGCUACAGCAGGCAAACCAUAUGCCACCGCAUGGGCCUGAGGACAAUCUCGGACGUCUUGCAAACAAUCACCCACACAAGUGUCCUGAUGAGUGGCGACCUUCUCAGCGAGGACUGACAACCACACGGGUUCCUACUUCAUGACCAGACCAGGGUCACCAUGGAGACAUUUCUCAUUGGAUCAGCUUAUUGUCCUGAAAACUCAAGACAAUGGAACAAUGCCAAGCAGUAAGAUAUGGAUACAAUGAGUAAAAUCUAAAGAUUGGUUCCUUUAAGACAAAGGGAUCAACAUGUAAUAACUUGGAAAUAUAUAGCAAAGAGAGAGCCAAAGACGUCUUCUAGCCCUGCACUUUGCCUCCUACUAGAACCAGUGGGAAGAUGCUCCAGGAAGUUAGCAGAGUCAGUUACAGUUAACUGCAGCUCAGUGUAAGGAAGAAACUCAACAGUGGAGUCAUUUUGAGAGGGAAUAGGUUAUUCUGAAAAGUAGGGAGUUUCCCUUCCCUAUGGGAGUUGAAUCCAAGGUUGGAUCUUUUUUUUUUUUUUUUUUUUUUGAGAUGUGGUUUUCCUAUGUUGCCCAGGCUGGAGUGUACUGGCUAUUCACAGGCAUAAUCACAGCAUAGCACACCCUUGAACUCCUGGGCUCAAGGAUCCUCCCACCUCAGCAUCCUGAGUAGGUGGGACUACAGGUACACGCCACUGCACCUGGCCUGGAUGAUCAUUAUUAAUGAAUGUUUUGUAGAAGGGAUAUAAACAUGAGAUUGGUAGAUGAUCUGAAUGACUUUUAUGUUUGAGAGUAUUUUAUUCCAUACUCACUGUAGCCUUAUGUUCCCAAUUUUAAAUACAUAUAUAUAUACACACAUAUAUAUACACACACAGUUAUAUAUGCUAAUAUGUUACUUAUGACUAAAUAGUAUUUAUUUUUUAUGUUUCUCUAAUAUCAUUUAUAUUAAGAAAUUAAUUAAUCAAAAAAUCAAUCUUUUGUCAGACCAAAAGCUUGAAAACAAAAUAUGGCCUGUAUAACUAUAUUUCAUGGAAAAAAUAAUAAUCCAAACCAUUUCUCAGUGGCGUUUGUUCCUGGUUCCUUUUCCAGUACAUUCAUUCACUCAUGAAAAAUCAUUUUUGGGCUCAAAUGGUAGAGAAAACAAAGCCAAAAUUCUGAGCAGCAGUCCCAACCCUAGGAAGCUGUGUGGUUAUAUUAUCUAACAUCUAAAGGGCUAUUUAACCAUUCUAGGACUUGGUUUUGUCAUUUGUAAAAGGAGUGAAAUAACAGAAGCUGCCUUACAGGAUCGUUGUAAAGAUUAAUGUGUGAAUAUACGUGAGCCACUUAGAACAAUGGCUGGUACAUAGUAAGUACUAUUUGAGUGAUAGCUUUCAUUAUCAUCAUCAUUCAACAACAAUAUUGUUAUUCCAGGCUUGGGGAGCAUAAACACGAAUAGGACAGGACCUCUUUUUCUCUAAAGAUGCAUAGUCCGGCUAGAGAAAGCAUGUAGGUAAACAGUGCAGGAAGGGGAGAGAAUCACUGUAAUGGGGAAAUGUGCUAGCAACUCCAAAUGGGAGAUUGCAGAGAAGGCUGUCAGAGAAAUAGGCUGUUGAGCUGGGUUUUGAUGACUGACAAGGCAUUUUCCAGGUAGAGGAGGGAAAAGUGAUCUGGGCUGAAGGAUGUCACUUUGUGUUUAGCAAUCCUGAGGUUGCCUUAAAUCAGCCUCAAUCACUUCUGUUGAGUAGAAGCCUAUGCUUUCUGUCCUGCCCUGGUUCUUGGCUGCAGGUCACAAAACAUUUCAGUCCAUUCAAGAAUCCUUGAGAGCUCUCCUGGGGACCUCCUGGGCAAUGCAGAGGUCAGACAGCAGAGCCACAUUCUCAGGGAGAGUGGCACAGUCAAGGGAGAAGACAGGUGAAGAGAAUGUUUUCCUGUGAAGGUGGUGAGCUGAUUGCCUUAGAGAGCGUGAGCUCCUGCCUUAGAGAGCAGGUGAACUCUCUCCAAGAAAGCAAAUGGAAACAAGCAAGCAAAACACGUUUCUUUCUCUUGUGUCUACACCCCCAGCCCCCACCACCCAUGAGUAAAGUGUCUUAUCUAGGUCUUACAAUCAGCCUUCCUAUCCAAUAUUCAGAUUUAUCUGAACAUGAGACCCAACGGUAACUCUUGUCCCCCACGGCUCACGUGAUGUAAAGGCUUACCUGGAGGAUCUCGCCUAUUCAUAGCAUCUUUGUCUCCAUGUCCUUAUCAUCAUGUCCUCUUUCGGGAAGCAAAAGAAAAGACCUUUUGCUCAUUUCACUUACUUGAGGAGACUGUUUCAAAUUGCUAUUUCUAUAUGGCAAAUUUUACCUCCACCCUGACUUAACUAGGUGAGGGUAGAAAAUGAGACCUGUGGAACAGAGGAAAAGCGAAUGCAAGGGGAUGAGCGGCAGCAGCAAGAACAUCCUGGACCAUUGGGGUGAGAUCAAUGAAACCCACACUGGAGCCCAGGCCCUGAUGUCCCCUGAGCUCCUCCUCCACAGCCUGUCAACUCCUGUGUCUCUGCAGUCCUAAAUAAACAAGAAGCAGCAGGUAAUUUUAUUUCCAAUCCAUGUUCACAAGAGGCUUCCUUUACUGGCAUCUUGCUGACAGGACCUUGCCUUACAAUGUGGAGUCACUUUUGCCCAGUUUAGCUCAGACAACUUCCUAGCAGGGAAGUAGGGAGUGGAUGGCUGGCUGGAGGUCUGGAAGGGGGACACACAUGGAAGGGGGUUGUUGUUUCUAUUAAAAAUGGACAGUGCCGCAGCUGUGGUCUGGCCUCCUACUCUCUCUCAAGCUGUAAUCCAAGGGUUGUCCAGUGCCACGGGUUGGCUAUUGAAAACCUAAGUUGUUGAAUCACCUUUGAAAACAGACUCAAAUUCAGACUGAUCAGCCCAGAGCAGAAUUCUGUUGGGCAUGUUCCCCAGGCAAAACUGUUGAGUAGAGAUGUAAAAAAAAAAAAUUCUAGAAACUGAAACAUCAUGAGAGCCACUUUACAGCAAAUCUAAUUACUUCCCAUUGUUUACAAUCACUGUCACAAAUGAUUAUCAUUUGUUAAAUAUUUGCUGAAUUCACUUCUCACUUCUCUCUUAGGAGUUGAUUUGGGUUUAGUCAUGGAUGGCUCCCUACUCUCUCUUCGUAUUGAAGCUCAUUUUAUCCAAGAUGUUAUACAGAUGAGGGACUUACUGCUAACCUUGUUCUCAGGGAAGCUCCAAACUAAAGAAUCAAAAAAUAUGAUAAACUUGGGCCAAAAAUCCCAUCCACAGUUAUGGGAAUACCAUGACUGGGCAUAUGAGACACCUGAUUUUCAGCCUAAGGAAGCACCAUCGGCGAGACAUACAGUAUCACAAUCUGGCUAUAUUUUAUGCUCCCUUUCCAUCAGUCUGGGAUAAAUUGUGUGUGUCAAGUUCGGCAAGCAUGGGUGAGCUAAAUGGAGCUGUUAGCUGUCUUUUCAACAUAUUUAUCUGUUUCAUUGCCUACUCUAGGAUGUCUUUGUGAUCAUUAUAUAGGGAUCACAGAUAAUAGACUAUUUGAAAUCUUACUUCAAUUAAAACUUAAUCCUCAGAUGUCAAUAACAGUGUUUUAUACAUAAGGUUACAAUAAAAACAAUGUCUUUUGUGCAUAUCAUUAAAACAACAACAGAAAAUCAAGAAUAAGAAAUGGCCUGAACAUUUUCUAAAACAAGAUGCUCUACUAUGUCGUGUACCUUGUCACUGUGAUAAAAUUAUGGUUAUUUCAAUAUCUAUGCAACUUGACAAAGUCACACAGGAUUUAUAAGAAAAAAAAUC
rnacentral:lncRNA from 10 species